AAUCAACGCUGGCGGCGUGCCUCAGACAUGCAAGUCGAACGCGAAAGUCCCCUUCGGGGGACAAGUAGAGUGGCGCACGGGUGAGUAACACGUAGGUAAUCUACCUUUGGAUGGGGAAUAACAAUCGGAAACGAUUGCUAAUACCGCAUAAUGCAGCGGCACCUAAUGGUGACAGUUGUUAAAGCGGGGGAUCGAAAGACCUCGCGUCUAAAGAGGAGCCUGCGGCGGAUUAGCUAGNGGUAAGGUAAUGGCUUACCAAGGCUACGAUCCGUAACCGGCCUGAGAGGGCGGUCGGGUCACACUGACACUGACAUACGGGUCAGACUCCUACGGGAGGCAGCAGUCGGGAAUUUUGGGCAAUGGGCGAAAGCCUGACCCAGCAACGCCGCGUGAAGGAU
rnacentral:rRNA from 1 species